UGCAGUACUCAAGGUGGAAAAAAGGGAACCCUGCACACGUUGCCAGUGCUGCAGCUUGUCCAGAAGCACUGCAGGUGCUUGAGUCUGGCUGAGCCACAACUAACUCUCUCCUUUUGCACAAUGGAGGCAUUCAGUGGAACAAUUGCAUCUAAGGAACAUGUCAGGGAAAAUGGGAGUGAGAGAACUCUUCUUGAAUCACAUGAUGAUGAUGGUGCCUCCAGCUGUUGACAUCUUGGAAACUUUAUCUGGCAUUCUCCCAGGAUAGUUCUGCUCCAAGUGACACGAUUCAAAGUCAGAUACAGAGGCUAAACCAACAGGACCAAACAGAUGAGGAAUAAGUCACAAGCGAUGGAGGACAGGAAGGUCUGAUCCUGUGCUGCCUUGCAUCUCACCUUGCAUUUCUCCCCCCUGAGAAAAGCACACCAAGCUUAUCCUCACCAAAUUAAAAGAUAUAUUAAUGAGCUAGGAAAAAGCCCCAACAGUCCAGUGUGCUGGAGUUGUGCCAGAGGUCACAAGUGCAGGAGAACGUGAGCUAACCCCAAGCACAUGCUGACACAGCUCUUCCUGCAUGCAGCAUUGGAUGCCUUUGGUGUCACCAGGCAAGGUGAGCAUCCUGAAAAUGCUGCAGCGGUCC